rnacentral:rRNA from 1 species
UACAGAGGGUGCGAGCGUUAAUCGGAAUUACUGGGCGUAAAGCGUGCGUAGGUGGAUAUUUAAGUCGAGUGUGAAAUCCCCGGGCUCAACCUGGGAACUGCAUUCGAUACUGAAUAUCUGGAGUAUAGCAGAGGAAGGCGGAAUUCCCGGUGUAGCGGUGAAAUGCGUAGAUAUCGGGAGGAACAUCAAUGGCGAAGGCGGCCUUCUGGGCUAAUACUGACACUGAGGCACGAAAGCGUGGGGAGCAAACAGG